CCUACGGGUGGCAGCAGUGAGGAAUAUUGGUCAAUGGACGAGAGUCUGAACCAGCCAAGUAGCGUGAAGGAUGACUGCCCUAUGGGUUGUAAACUUCUUUUAUACAGGAAUAAAACGAGGCACGUGUGCCUUUUUGCAUGUACUUUAUGAAUAAGGAUCGGCUAACUCCGUGCCAGCAGCCGCGGUAAUACGGAGGGUCCGAGCGUUAUCCGGAUUUAUUGGGUUUAAAGGGAGCGUAGAUGGGUUGUUAAGUCAGUUGUGAAAGGUUGCGGCUCAACCGUAAAAUUGCAAUUGAUACUGGCAGUCUUGAGUACAGUUGAGGUAAGCGGAAUUCGUGGUGUAGCGGUGAAAUGCUUAGAUAUCACGAAGAACCCCGAUUGCGAAGGCAGCUUACUAAACUGUGACUGACAUUGAUGCUCGAAAGUGUGGGUAUCAAACAGGAUUAGAUACCCUAGUAGUC
rnacentral:rRNA from 1 species